CAAAGUCAGCCGAGGCGUCUUGCAAACUGGGAUGUGCAAACUGUUGUGAUCAGCACAGAAACAGCAACAGGAGGGCCACAAUCUCUCCCCAGAGCCUUUCCAGCAAGGCAACACCCAGCAGGCUGGCCAGCACGCCGUCACCCCAACAACCAAAGAGCCCCAGGACCAGCAGCAAGAUGCCAACGUGAACCCUGGCCCCAAAGCCAGGCAGUCAGGAGAGCUCUAGCAGGUGCCAGUGCAAGGGGAAAAGCAGAGACGUGCUCUGACCUGCCCGGUGCAGGCCAUGGACUGGGGCACACCUCACACACCAGCUUCCAGCCUGCCCUGGGCAAUGGGCACUCAGGAGAUGCCCUGGAGUCCAGCCCUUGCCACCGGGGUCUGCACCAGUGCCUCAUGCAAAACCUGCCUUUGCUUUCCUAGUGAUGCUUAUAACCUGCUCCUUACUUCUGCAG